rnacentral:rRNA from 1 species
GCUCAGAAACUUAAAGGAAUUGACGGGGCCCGGCACAAGCGGUGGAGUAUGCGGUUAAUUUCGAUGCAACGCGAAGAACCUUACCUGGUCUUGACAUCCCGGAGACCCUUAGGAAACUAGGGGUGCUUCCAUCUGGAAGAAUCUGGAGACAGGUGCUGCAUGGCUGUCGUCAGCUCGUGUCGUGAGAUGUUGGGUUAAGUCCCGCAACGAGCGCAACCCUUGCCUUUAGUUGCCAGCAGUUCGGCUGGGCACUCUAAAGGGACUGCCGGUGUUAAACCGGAGGAAGGUGGGGAUGACGUCAAGUCCUCAUGGCCUUUAUGACCAGGGCUACACACGUACUACAAUGGCCGAUACAAAGGGCAGCGACACUGCGAGGUGAAGCCAAUCCCGUAAAAUCGGUCUCAGUCCGGAUUGGAGUCUGCAACUCGACUCCAUGAAGUUGGAAUCGCUAGUAAUCGUGGAUCAGCAUGCCACGGUGAAUACGUUCCCGGGCCUU